rnacentral:lncRNA from 1 species
AGAACACGUGCCACUGCGGGCUCGCGGGCAGUUUGGCAGGUGCUGAUGGUCAUGACCCUUUCCGCGGUAAUGACACUGAAAAUUGUUCGUCGCUGGACUUUGUCACAUUCAAAGCCGUGCUCAAUAAUAAACCUGAGCUUCUCUAGGAACGGAUUUGAAAUACAGACCUAAAAAGCCAAGCCAUCCAUCUGCAUGUGUUCAGGCAGGGAGUCCUUGUCUGCUCUUUGAUCUUUCUUAUCUCCACGGGCUGAGCUGGGGCAGAGGUGGCAAGAGACAGAUGAGGACAGGAGAAGCAGGGAGUGCCUUUUUCCACAGCAAGUGGUGGAUGAAGAUGUGUGUGAAACUUCAGCUUGAAACCAAGUGGAGUCAGAGUACAAAGAGGAAGAAACCUCCGUUUGACACUGCCUCACUAAUCUCAGCAGUGUAUCACUCAUUAUUCUGCACAGGAUUAAAGGCUUUGCUGGGGCAGAUUCUUCAACUCAGAGACGUAAUCUUCCCACACCUGUCCUCAGCAUAUAUUUUCCUCAGAGAAAAAAGCUCUACAGGCUCUUUGUUCUACAAAAAAGAUCUGGAGAUAUCACCUGGUGUUUAUCUGUGACUAUGAAAUCCAUAAUCCUUACAGGUAAUUAUGUUGUCUGCCUAGAAGUUCUCACUUUUGAGGUUUGGUUGUUGGAUGAGCUGCUGAUUCUAAUAAAUCUGUUGGGAUUGUGAGGAA